rnacentral:rRNA from 1 species
UACGGGGGGAGCAAGCGUUGUUCGGAUUUACUGGGCGUAAAGGGCGCGUAGGCGGCCACCGCAAGUCGACUGUGAAAUCUCCGGGCUUAACCCGGAGCGGCCAAGUGAUACUGUCGUGCUAGAGUGCGGAAGGGGCUACUGGAAUUCUCGGUGUAGCGGUGAAAUGCGUAGAUAUCGAGAGGAACACCUGCGGCGAAGGCGGGUAGCUGGGCCGACACUGACGCUGAGGCGCGAAAGCCAGGGGAGCGAACGGG